rnacentral:lncRNA from 1 species
GAUUGAGUUAUUUUGGGAGAAAAACGAGAAAAAAGGCAUCCGGAUAUUGUCCCGUCAUUGGACGAAAUUUUAAGUCAGAUUAGACUUCCGGUUUACGUUUUUCUGUAUACUUUGAACAUACAUAUUCUACGAAUAAAGUGUAUUUUCAGAAUUCUAUCUGCUAUCAUUUUCAAGUUUACUAUCCACGGCGGUCACAGAGUUUAUUAAAUAGAGAGG